GCCCAGUAUAGUGGCCAGUGGGUGACAAAUGACUCUGAAAGAGAAAGUACACAACCCUAUCUUACCAAUCAAGAAACAGAUAAACGAUGCAAGGGAACACAACUGCUGUCCUUGUUGCUUUGUAGGCUUGUAACCAAUGAGCUCCUCAAGAAAUAAGUAACUGUUCUGGUGGAAUUUUUUUGUGAUCGUCUGAAGGAUCAUUUCUCUGUGGUUCCUCACGUCUUUUCUGGUUUAUCGGCUUUGGUAUGUUGUAUUGUAUCUGUGUGAAGCUGAAUAUUUAAACCGGAUCAUGCAUUUUUGUUAUCUUAUUGCAAUGCAUUUUAUUUGCCUUUGCCUUUCAUGUGGCACAUUUAAUUCUUACUGCGGGCUGCAGAUUGUAACAUUUAAAAGCAAGCAAUGACAGUAUAAAAUGCUGUUAUCAAAGUUAAUGUUUCCAUGUAAAGUAAUAUGAGCUGGUAACCAAGAAAAAAAGGUUUUUUUUAACAAAAUUACAGUUUCUUUGUGAAGUUUUUUUCUUUCGCGCUUUUCAUCUGUCAUUGUUUGCAACUUACUGUUACUGUUUGCUUGUGUGAUGGAUGUACUGACAGAGGAA